CUAGGAGAUGGUAAAGGAUGACAUUCUAGCUGCUGCCAAGGAGUUCUUCUCUACAAGCAAAAUGCCUCAUAUGAUCAACACCACUGCCAUAGCACUUGUGCCUAAAGUCAAAGCACAUGCUACUGUUAAAGAUUACAGGCCUAUAGAUUAUGGUCCAGAAUAUGUGUUUGGCUGGGGCAUACCAGAACAGUUGGCUGCUGGGAACUGAGCUUCUUUGGAUAUGCAGCAAAGCAAAAAGUAGAUUAUGGCAGAAUGGUAUAACAGCUUCAGCAUUUGUCACUACUACUGCUCUCAUAUGGAAAGAAAGGAACCGCAUUUGUUUUGAAG
rnacentral:lncRNA from 1 species